UGAAACCCCAUCUCUACUAAAAAUACAAAACUAGCUGGGUGUGGUGGCACGCACCUGUAGUCCCAGCUACUCGGGAGGCCGAGGCAGGAGAAUUGCUUGAACCCAGGAGUCGGAGGUUGCGGUGAGCCAAGAUCAUACCAUUGCACUGCAGCCUGGUUAACAAGAGCGAAACUCCGUCUCCAAAAAAAAAUGAUUCAUUCAGAAUGUUCAUCUCCAAGGUUUGACUAAGCCGGGAAACCAACAAGGAACAUAUAAAGAAAAAAGAACAAUUCCAAAUUCUUUCUCCAUGAGAGAGCUACUUUGAACCUUCUAGUGUGUGUUUCUCUCCAGCUAAGAAAAGAGAUUUCUUCAGAUGGAAAGAAUCCAGCUGGAAAAUAAAGUGAUCAGGGAAGUGACUGCCCAAAAUUCAAGGGAAAGAGGAUGCUAUAUUUGGGUCUGUGUCUAUGGCAUGGAGUUUGGGGCCUGACCAACAGGCCUGAGUAUUGUC